rnacentral:rRNA from 1 species
ACGCACGCUGGCGGCGUGCUUAACACAUGCCAGUCGAACGGUGAAGCGCCUUCCUUUUUGGUGGGUGUGGAUGAGUGGCGAACGGGUGAGUAACACGUGAGUAACCUGCCCCCUUCUUCUGGAUAACCGCAUGAAAGUGUGGCUAAUACGGGAUAUUCUGGGUCUGUCGCAUGAUGGGUCUGGGAAAGAUAUUGUUUCGGUGGGGGAUGGGCUCGCGGCCUAUCAGCUUGUUGGUGGGGUGAUGGCCUACCAAGGCGGUGACGGGUAACCGGCCUGAGAGGGUGGACGGUCACACUGGGACUGAGACACGGCCCAGACUCCUACGGGAGGCAGCAGUGGGGAAUAUUGCUCAAUGGGCGCAAGCCUGAUGCAGCGACGCCGCGUGAGGGAUGGAGGCCUUCGGGUUGUGAACCUCUUUCGCCAGUGAAGCAGGCCUGCCUCGUUUGUGGGUGGGUUGACGGUAGCUGGAUAAGAAGCGCCGGCUAACUACGUG